rnacentral:misc_RNA from 1 species
UCGAGUUAGGGUCCUCUGGGCUCGACCUCCAACCCUUUGUCUACCGUACCUCUUGUUGCUUCGGCGGGCCCGUCCCCCUAUAACAGGGGUGACCGCCGGAGGGUCCACACCCUCUAGCCCGCGCCCGCCGGUGGCCUCAACCAAAACUCUUGUUAAAACCGUGUCGUCUGAGUUGAGAAAUCAAUAACUAA